GUAGGUGGCAAGCGUUGUCCGGAAUUAUUGGGCGUAAAGCGCGCGCAGGCGGUUCUUUAAGUCUGAUGUGAAAGCCCACGGCUCAACCGUGGAGGGUCAUUGGAAACUGGAGAACUUGAGUACAGAAGAGGAAAGCGGAAUUCCACGUGUAGCGGUGAAAUGCGUAGAGAUGUGGAGGAACACCAGUGGCGAAGGCGGCUUUCUGGUCUGUAACUGACGCUGAGGCGCGAAAGCGUGGGGAGCAAACAGGAUUAGAUACCCUGGUAGUCCACGCCGUAAACGAUGAGUGCUAAGUCGUUAGGGGGGUUUUCCGCCCCCCUUAGUGCUGCAGCUAACGCAUUAAGCACUCCGCCCUGGGAGUACGGCCGCAAGGCUG
rnacentral:rRNA from 1 species